CAAUAGCGUAUAUUAAAGUUGUUGCAGUUAAAAAGCUCGUAGUUGGAUUUGUGGCUGUCACGGGCGGCCUAUCACUUAGUGUUAGUGCUUGCCUGUGUCGCCAUCCUUGGGUGGAGCCCGUGUGGCAUUAGGUUGUCGUGCGGGGGAUGCCCAUCGUUUACUGUGAGAAAAUUAGAGUGUUCAAAGCAGGCUUAUGCCGUUGAAUAUGUUAGCAUGGAAUAAUGAGAUAGGACCUCGGUACUAUUUUGUUGGUUUGCGCACCGAGGUAAUGAUUAAUAGGGACAGUUGGGGGUAUUCGUAUUUCAUUGUCAGAGGUGAAAUUCUUGGAUUUCUGAAAGACGAACUACUGCGAAAGCAUUUACCUAGGAUGUUUUCAUUAA
rnacentral:rRNA from 1 species